rnacentral:rRNA from 1 species
AGCGAACGCUGGCGGCAGGCCUAACACAUGCAAGUCGAGCGGGGUUUUCGGACCUAGCGGCGGACGGGUGAGUAAUGCGUAGGAAGCUGCCCGAUAGAGGGGGAUACCAGUUGGAAACGACUGUUAAUACCGCAUAAUGUCUACGGACCAAAGUGUGGGACCUUCGGGCCACAUGCUAUCGGAUGCGCCUACGUGGGAUU